rnacentral:tRNA from 2 species
GCAUGAUUUAAAAGGAAAAAAAUCUGGACUUAAAAUCCCCCGCUCGUAAGGGCGUGCCGGUUCGAUUCCGGCUUCGGGCACCA